rnacentral:rRNA from 1 species
GAUGAACGCUGGCGGCGUGCCUAAUACAUGCAAGUCGAGCGAAUGGAUUAAGAGCUUGCUCUUAUGAAGUUAGCGGCGGACGGGUGAGUAACACGUGGGUAACCUGCCCAUAAGACUGGGAUAACUCCGGGAAACCGGGGCUAAUACCGGAUAACGUUUUGAACCGCAUGGUUCGAAAUUGAAAGGCGGCUUCGGCUGUCACUUAUGGAUGGACCCGCGUCGCAUUAGCUAGUUGGUGAGGUAACGGCUCACCAAGGCAACGAUGCGUAGCCGACCUGAGAGGGUGAUCGGCCACACUGGGACUGAGACACGGCCCAGACUCCUACGGGAGGCAGCAGUAGGGAAUCUUCCGCAAUGGACGAAAGUCUGACGGAGCAACGCCGCGUGAGUGAUGAAGGCUUUCGGGUCGUAAAACUCUGUUGUUAGGGAAGAACAAGUGCUAGUUGAAUAAGCUGGCACCUUGACGGUACCUAACCAGAAAGCCACGGCUAACUACGUGCCAGCCGCCGCCGUAA